rnacentral:rRNA from 1 species
AUACGUAGGGGGCGAGCGUUGUCCGGAAUUAUUGGGCGUAAAGGGUUCGCAGGCGGUCUGAUAAGUCAGAUGUGAAAGGCAAUGGCUCAACCAUUGUAAGCAUUUGAAACUGUCAGACUUGAGUUAAGGAGAGGAAAGUGGAAUUCCUAGUGUAGUGGUGAAAUGCGUAGAUAUUAGGAGGAAUACCAGUGGCGAAGGCGACUUUCUGGUCUUAUACUGACGCUGAGGAACGAAAGCGUGGGAAGCAAACAGGAUUAGAUACCCUGGUAGUCCACGCCGUAAACGAUGAGUGCUAGGUGUUGGGGGUCAAACCUCGGUGCCGCAGCUAACGCAUUAAGCACUCCGCCUGGGGAGUACGUACGCAAGUAUGAAACUCAAAGGAAUUGGCGGGG